AAGAGNNNUUUUAUUAGAUCAAGAUCAAUACGUGCCGCAAGGUGCGUNCUCGUUGGUGAUUCUNAAUAACUUUGUGCURAUCGCACGGGCCUCGCGCCGGCGACGUAUCUUUCAAGUGUCUGCCCUAUCAACUUUCGAUGGUACGUGCUAUGCCUACCAUGGUUAUAACGGGUAACGGAGAAUCAGGNUUCGAUUCCGGAGAGGGAGCAUGAGAAACGGCUACCACAUCCAAGGAAGGCAGCAGGCGCGCNAAUUACCCACUCCUGGCMCGGGGAGGUAGUGACGAAAAAUAACAAUACGGGAUCUCUUNNAGGCCCCGUAAUUGGAAUGAGUACACUUUAAAUCCUUU
rnacentral:rRNA from 1 species